CUGGCUCAGGAUGAACGCUAGCGACAGGCUUAACACAUGCAAGUCGAGGGGCAUCACGGGAGUAGCAAUACAACUGGUGGCGACCGGCGCACGGGUGAGUAACGCGUAUGCAACCUACCUAUCAGAGGGGAAUAACCCGGCGAAAGUCGGACUAAUACCGCAUAAAACAGGGGCACCGCAUGGUGAUAUUUGUUAAAGAAAUUCGCUGAUAGAUGGGCAUGCGUUCCAUUAGGUAGUUGGUGAGGUAACGGCUCACCAAGCCGACGAUGGAUAGGGGAACUGAGAGGUUGGUCCCCCACACUGGUACUGAGACACGGACCAGACUCCUACGGGAGGCAGCAGUGAGGAAUAUUGGUCAAUGGGCGGGAGCCUGAACCAGCCAAGUCGCGUGAAGGGAAAAGAAGGAUCUAUGGUUCGUAAACUUCUUUUGCAGGGGAAUAAAGUGCAGGACGUGUCCUGUUUUGUAUGUACCCUGAGAAUAAGGAUCGGCUAACUCCGUGCCAGCAGCAGC
rnacentral:rRNA from 1 species